rnacentral:rRNA from 1 species
GACGAACGCUGGCGGCGUGCUUAACACAUGCAAGUCGAACGGAAAGGCCCUGCUUUUGUGGGGUGCUCGAGUGGCGAACGGGUGAGUAACACGUGAGUAACCUGUCCUUCACUUUGGGAUAACUUCAGGAAACUGAGGCUAAUACCGGCUAGGAGCUCCUGCUGCUUGGUGGGGGUUGGUAAGUUUCGGCGGUUGGGGAUGGACUAGCGGCCUAUCAGCUUGUUGGUGGGGUAGUGUCUUACCAAGGCUUUGACGGGUAGCCGGCCUGAGAGGGUGACCGGCCACAUUGGGACGGAGAUGCGGCACGGACUAGUCUGGGAGGCAGCAGAGGAGAAUAUUGCACAAGGGGAGGAAGCAUGAUGCAGCAACGCCGCGUGCGGGAUGACGGCCAGCGGGUUGUAAACCGCUGUCGCCUGUGACGAAGCGUGAGUGACGGUAAUGGGUAAAGAAGCACCGGCUAACUACGUG